CCUACGGGCGGCUGCAGUGGGGAAUAUUGCACAAUGGGCGCAAGCCUGAUGCAGCCAUGCCGCGUGUGUGAAGAAGGCCUUCGGGUUGUAAAGCACUUUCAGCGGGGAGGAAGGCGUUAAGGUUAAUAACCUUGGCGAUUGACGUUACCCGCAGAAGAAGCACCGGCUAACUCCGUGCCAGCAGCCGCGGUAAUACGGAGGGUGCAAGCGUUAAUCGGAAUUACUGGGCGUAAAGCGCACGCAGGCGGUCUGUCAAGUCGGAUGUGAAUUCCCCGGGCUCAACCUGGGAACUGCAUUCGAAACUGGCAGGCUAGAGUCUUGUAGAGGGGGGUAGAAUUCCAGGUGUAGCGGUGAAAUGCGUAGAGAUCUGGAGGAAUACCGGUGGCGAAGGCGGCCCCCUGGACAAAGACUGACGCUCAGGUGCGAAAGCGUGGGGAGCAAACAGGAUUAGAUACCCGGGUAGUC
rnacentral:rRNA from 1 species